CAGUAGCCGCGGGAAUACAGAGGGUGCGAGCGUUAAUCGGAUUUACUGGGCGUAAAGCGUGCGUAGGCGGCUUUUUAAGUCUGAUGUGAAAUCCCUGAGCUUAACUUAGGAAUUGCAUUCGAUACUGGGAAGCUAGAGUAUGGGAGAGGAUGGUAGAAUUCCAGGUGUAGCGGUGAAAUGCGUAGAGAUCUGGAGGAAUACCGAUGGCGAAGGCAGCCAUCUGGCCUAAUACUGACGCUGAGGUACGAAAGCAUGGGGAGCAAACAGGAUUAGAUACCCCUGUAGUCCCUGUCUCUUAUAC
rnacentral:rRNA from 1 species